rnacentral:ncRNA from 1 species
UGAACAUCUAUGAAGCAAAGAGUAGCAGGCGUCAACUCGAUUAGCGAGGUAAGGACUGGUGAGAGCUUACCCAGAGCGUUUGUGAACUGCAUUGUGGAGAUGGUCCGGUCAAAUCAUAGCCGGAUUCGCAGAAAUGCGUUAAAAUUUUCGAGAUUAUAGGCCUAGUGUCUAUAAACAAGAGUGGUAUCGUGGGAAGAACCCGCCUCUUAU